ACGAACGCUGGCGGCGUGCCUAAUACAUGCAAGUUGAGCGCUGAAGGUUGGUACUUGUACCAACUGGAUGAGCAGCGAACGGGUGAGUAACGCGUGGGGAAUCUGCCUUUGAGCGGGGGACAACAUUUGGAAACGAAUGCUAAUACCGCAUAAAAACUUUAAACACAAGUUUUAAGUUUGAAAGAUGCAAUUGCAUCACUCAAAGAUGAUCCCGCGUUGUAUUAGCUAGUUGGUGAGGUAAAGGCUCACCAAGGCGAUGAUACAUAGCCGACCUGAGAGGGUGAUCGGCCACAUUGGGACUGAGACACGGCCCAAACUCCUACGGGAGGCAGCAGUAGGGAAUCUUCGGCAAUGGACGAAAGUCUGACCGAGCAACGCCGCGUGAGUGAAGAAGGUUUUCGGAUCGUAAAACUCUGUUGGUAGAGAAGAACGUUGGUGAGGGUGGAAAGCUCAUCAAGUGACGGUAACUACCCAGAAAGGGACGGCUAACUACGUG
rnacentral:rRNA from 1 species